rnacentral:rRNA from 1 species
UUAAAAAUAACCCCUGCUAAUUGCCAAGUAAAAAGCCGCAGAUUUUUUUCUGUGCUAAGGUAGCAUAAUCACUUNCCUUNUAAUUUAAGGAUAGAAUAAAAGGGAAACCGAGUUAUACACUGUUUCAGUUAUUUUCAAUAAACAUUAACUAUAAAGUAAAAAGUCUUUUAGUCCAAGAAAGACGACAAGACCCUAAUAAACUUAACUAAAGUUAAGCUGGGGAGGCCCAUUAAAAAAUUCUUAUAUCCUGACCCAACUAAAACCUUACUAAAAUAUUCAAGUUACUAUAGGGAUAACAGCAUAAUCAUUUUUUAAAGCUCAUAUUUACAAAAUAGCUUAUGACCUCGAUGUUGAAUUGAAAUAUCUCCUAGAAGCAAAAAAUUAGAAAGAAAGUCUGUUCGACU